rnacentral:rRNA from 1 species
AUUGAACGCUGGCGGCAGGCCUAACACAUGCAAGUCGAGCGGAUGAAGAGAGCUUGCUCUCUGAUUCAGCGGCGGACGGGUGAGUAAUGCCUAGGAAUCUGCCUGGUAGUGGGGGACAACGUUUCGAAAGGAACGCUAAUAUCGCAUACGUCCUACGGGAGAAAGUGGGGGAUCUUCGGACCUCACGCUAUCAGAUGAGCCUAGGUACGAUUAGCUAGUUGGUGAGGUAAAGGCUCACCAAGGCGACGAUCGUUAACUGGUCUGAGAGGAUGAUCAGUCACACUGGAACUGAGACACGGCCCAGACUCCUACGGGAGGCAGCAGUGGGGAAUAUUGGACAAUGGGCGAAAGCCUGAUCCAGCCAUGCCGCGUGUGUGAAGAAGGUCUUCGGAUUGUAAAGCACUUUAAGUUGGGAGGAAGGGCAGUAAGUUAAUACCUUGCUGUUUUGACGUUACCGACAGAAUAAGCACCGGCUAACUUCGUGCCAGCAGCCGCCGUAACAC